UAGGGAAUCUUCCACAAUGGACGCAAGUCUGAUGGAGCAACGCCGCGUGAGUGAAGAAGGCUUUCGGGUCGUAAAACUCUGUUAUUGAAGAAGAACGUGCGUGACGGUAACUGGUCAUGCAGUGACGGUAUUCAAUCAGAAAGUCACGGCUAACUACGUGCCAGCAGCCGCGGUAAUACGUAGGUGGCAAGCGUUGUCCGGAUUUAUUGGGCGUAAAGCGAGUGCAGGCGGUCUUUUAAGUCUGAUGUGAAAGCCUUCGGCUUAACCGA
rnacentral:rRNA from 1 species